rnacentral:rRNA from 1 species
GGAAAAAGAAGAGUGGCGAACGGGUGAGUAACACGUGGGUAACCUGCCCAUCAGAAGGGGAUAACACUUGGAAACAGGUGCUAAUACCGUAUAACAAUCAAAACCGCAUGGUUUUGAUUUGAAAGGCGCUUUCGGGUGUCGCUGAUGGAUGGACCCGCGGUGCAUUAGCUAGUUGGUGAGGUAACGGCUCACCAAGGCCACGAUGCAUAGCCGACCUGAGAGGGUGAUCGGCCACAUUGGGACUGAGACACGGCCCAAACUCCUACGGGAGGCAGCAGUAGGGAAUCUUCGGCAAUGGACGAAAGUCUGACCGAGCAACGCCGCGUGAGUGAAGAAGGUUUUCGGAUCGUAAAACUCUGUUGUUAGAGAAGAACAAGGAUGAGAGUAACUGUUCAUCCCUUGACGGUAUCUAACCAGAAAGCCACGGCUAACUACGUGCCAGCAGCCGCGGUAAUACGUAGGUGGCAAGCGUUGUCCGGAUUUAUUGGGCGUAAAGCGAGCGCAGGCGGUUUCUUAAGUCUGAUGUGAAAGCCCCCGGCUCAACCGGGGAGGGUCAUUGGAAACUGGGAGACUUGAGUGCAGAAGAGGAGAGUGGAAUUCCAUGUGUAGCGGUGAAAUGCGUAGAUAUAUGGAGGAACAC